UACAGAGGGGGCAAGCGUUGUUCGGAAUUACUGGGCGUAAAGGGCGCGUAGGCGGCCUGUUAAGUCGAACGUGAAAUCCCCGGGCUCAACCCGGGAACUGCGUCCGGUACUGGCAGGCUUGAAUCCGGGAGAGGGAUGCGGAAUUCCAGGUGUAGCGGUGAAAUGCGUAGAUAUCUGGAGGAACACCGGUGGCGAAGGCGGCAUCCUGGACCGGCAUUGACGCUGAGGCGCGAAAGCCAGGGGAGCAAACGGG
rnacentral:rRNA from 1 species